rnacentral:lncRNA from 1 species
AAUGUAAAAUGUCAUGAGCAGAAGCAAAGGGCAGUGAAAGUAGCCUUUGCCUCCAUACUCAAAAAGUUACUGACUUUGAAUUCUCCUGGGUGCUGUGGUGAAGAUGGCAAUGACCAGGAAGUCUGGUACAGGCAGAGUUUUCCUUCUCUCUUUGCAAUGUCCAUCUUAACCAGAGAGUGGAUUUUCUUGAACCUGGGAUGACCUAACCAAAGGAAGGAACCACAUGUGAAACCACUUACCUGUUUAACCCUAUGAACUUGAAGAGAACAUGUAAUGCCACUUAAAAUACCUAAGCUCGGGUUCUGCCUUCAGCGACUCCUGGUAGUAGUGCCCUUAUGAGCCAUUUAUCAAGAAGGCUUUAAGAUACAAGAUACUUCAAUGAAUAAAACAAAGACCUUUGCUUUCCUGAAACUUGAGAUCAAAUGGAGGACACACAAAAACAACGCACCUACAAAUCACCAUAUUGUGUGUCAGGAGCCUCUAGGUUACCCUCAUCCAUAGGAAUCACAUCUGCAUUCCUGUAACUGCAUAAGGAGAAAGAAGGUGGAAGCUGAGGAUGCUAUGAAAACCCCUUGAGGAAACAAAGGCACCUUGGGGGCCAUUGAGAACUCCUGACGAAGAGGGCUCAGCUGCCAGACCUGCUCAAGAAAGACCUCAGAAAUCUCUAUGGGGCUGUCAGAAGAAAAGGUUUGAAAAGGGUCUGGAGAGACUGAAAUUUGUCUGCCUUGGACUUUUCUUUUGACAAUUCACAUCCAACUUAAGCAGAAUCAUUGUUUAUUCUUAUUAUGCCAGGUUUCCUUUUCUGGUCUGCAGGUUCUCUAGGGUUUCAUAGGCUAGUAGUUGGAAUUUUCAUAUUUCCAAAGCAUUGGGGAUUUUGCAAAAACAAAAUCUAAAGGAUAUUCAGCAGCACAGUUUACUUAGGAGGUUUUAAUCAUAAUAAUCUGCAUAAUGUAUGAGAAUUUCUACCUCAGCUGCCUCCUUUCUUUCUCUUUCGUGUCUGGGAAAAAGCCAGGGAUUUUUCCCUUCCUCUGAUUUAAAUACCUUAUAAAAUUUUGGUGGAAGCAUUUUGUCCUAUUCUGUCUUCCUGAUUCAUUUUCUGCUGUAAUGAGCAAAAUUAAUUUGCAAGAGCUGCUACUGACAUAGUGUAAUAAACUGGGUCAUAGGUAGAAUCAGUGCCGCCUUAUGACCCUUAGCUGUCAUUGCUUUAAGGAAUUUGGCAUGGUCCUCGAAGGCCAGAAGGCAAUGUGGGUUGCAUCCUACAGCUUUUGAGAUCUCAGAGACUUACUGCACCCAUGGCUGGGAAUGAACUGUAAAUGCUGACACUGGUAACUAGGUGCCAAACUGAAGUGAUCACAACCUAAUCUGAGCCAAAAGGCAUUUCUUUGCAUCAGGCAUAAAGCAACAUCAAACUCCCAUAACCCACACACAACACAGAAAUCAUUACUGAAGAGAUUCAACAUCAUCAUGCCAGACACUAAGUGAGUUAUUUCUCUCCUUCCCUGUCUCACCACAGUUUCCUCCCACUUGGUCACACAUGGUAAGCAUUCAUGUGUGCGAAGGCAUUUUAUGCCUUCGACCUAACCCCGACCACAGUCCCCUAGUCUUAUCAGAGAUCUGCACUCCCCACCAUUUGAGCACGAUGGAGUGCAUAUUUCCAGUGCAAAAAGACUGAUAUCAUUAUGAUUUUCAUUAACUAGUUGCCAGCUUGCAUUCUUUUUUCUCCCUUUUUUUCUCUCUCAACAGCACUUCUGUCCUCAGCCCAACCCCAGCCAGAAAAGGUGUUGCUACAUUCAGUGAAAAAUUAUUAUUAGUAUAGACAUGAAAUUUGAUGAUAAUGUAGAUUGUUUUGUGUCAUCUGCAGGCUGUCACAAUACACUCUGCAUCACUGAAAUGUGUUGACCAGAAGGAUGAUGGUGUUGUCAUGAUACUGAGGUCUUUUAAUUAAUUACUUUGUGACUUUCAUAGCAUUUAGAAAACGGAGAACAGGGUAUUUUCUUGAACAGCCUAGCCAAAUGAAAAACUGGUUACUAAUGUAUGUUAUCUUCAUGAAUGAAGGCAUAAAAUAAUAAAAACAAACAAAUUAAAAAUUGUUAAUAAAUUAAUAACUAAUAAAAAUAAAUAAAAUAAAGAUUGUUAGCAUGUUUCAUCCAUGACAAUCAUGUAUACAAUUUGUGAUGUGCAAAAUAAUUUUGUAGUUAGGUAUCAGUGCAUAUUUUUGCACAUACUACCUUCUUUAAAGGACUGUAUAAAUUGACUAAAAUAUUUUCAGAGACUUAAUGAAGAUACAAUAUAGGGACUUGUGAUUUACACAAAGGACCUUUUAAAUUUUUCAAUGCAUUUGUUUUAAAGACGGCUUUGACCACACACGUACAUUUUCUAACUUGGAAAAGUAGCUUCCUGUUAUAAUCAAUACAGAUUACUUUUGGACUUUAAAAAAAUCAGGCAAAUAUUCUAAAUUGUUGAACUCUCUGGGUACAUGUAUCUUCUGCUUUGUUAAGUUUAUUUACUUUAUACAGUUCCCCUUCUUUCCUUGCUGUAGAGCCUGUUCAAUAUCACUGACUAAAUCACAGAAAGAACUCCAAGAUCAUCUAGCUAACCCACAAUCACUGAAGCAAGCAAAUGCUUGUUUAAAGAAUCAGGGUAGGUGGUGAUCUCUUCUAUUUUUAAAUCAUUAUAUGGGUAAAAAAUUAUAAACAUUGCUUUUCUUUAUAAAAUGGCUUCACACAUUUUAUAGGUUUACAAUUCACCAACAAGUCAUUUGAAAACCUCUGCACACUCCAGUAGUCAUAAUUUUAAAAAUCAGAUUUUAUAUUUUUCUUUUCUUCUCCUUUCCCUGAUACAGUCUUAAGUCCCACAUUUUACAGGAUGCUUUAUCCUCCUAAGUUCUAUUUUGUUUUGCACAUACAUGCAGAAUGCCUACUUAUAAAGUCAUGAGCAUAUAGAUCCAAUAGAGUAUAUGUGCCCAAUUAAGUAUUGUCCUUCUGGGUAGACAUCUUAGAGGAAAUGAACUUAUUAUAGAUUUGUCCUAACUUCAGUAACACCCAUCCAUAAAAGGCCGCCAAGUUGCUGCUUUCUGCAGUAGUACUCGAGUUGAAGAGAGGAGAUUUUUCAAGGAUAAGAUACUUCGUGAUCAAUAGCGUGUCCCAGAAGAAGGCAGAAAGUAGAAGAUGAGGAGAGGAUGGCUCCAACUCUUGUAGGACCUAGGGGAUAUGAUGAGAUUAGCCCGUGGGCAGUACAGGAGGACAGCAGGCUUGGGCAAAAGUGUACAGUAUAAAGAAGAUAAUGGGAGACAAGAAACCUGGGAUUAAAGUCCCAGUGAGCAAACAAAUCACUCUUUUUUCCUUUUGGUUCUUCAUAAAAUGAGAAUAGUUACAUUCAGUUGAAAACCUUGGUGCCCCAGAUAUGAAUCGCUAUAAGCAUCUGUCAUUUUUGUAAAGAAAAAAUAUUUAUGUUUUAUUAUGGAAUUUCCCAC